rnacentral:rRNA from 1 species
AUUGAACGCUGGCGGCAGGCCUAACACAUGCAAGUCGAACGAGUGGCGGACGGGUGAGUAAUGUCUGGGAAACUGACCGAUGGAGAGGGAUAACUAAUGGAAACGGUAGCUAAUAACGCAUACCAUCGGAUGUGCCCAGCUUGGAUUAGCGCGUAGGUGGGGUAAUGGCUCACGUAGGCGACGAUCCCUAGCUGGUCUGAGAGGAUGACCAGCCACACUGGAACUGAGACACGGUCCAGACUCCUACGGGAGGCAGCAGUGGGGAAUAUUGCACAAUGGGCGCAAGCCUGAUGCAGCCAUGCCGCGUGUAUGAAGAAGGCCUUCGGGUUGUAAAGUACUUUCAGCGAGGAGGCGUUACUCGCAGAAGAAGCACCGGCUAACUCCGUGCCAGCAGCCGCGGUAAUUC